UACGGGAGGCAGCAGUGAGGAAUAUUGGUCAAUGGGCGAGAGCCUGAACCAGCCAAGUAGCGUGCAGGAUGACGGCCCUAUGGGUUGUAAACUGCUUUUAUAUGGGAAUAAAGUGAGGGACGUGUCCCUUAUUGCAUGUACCAUACGAAUAAGGACCGGCUAAUUCCGUGCCAGCAGCCGCGGUAAU
rnacentral:rRNA from 1 species